rnacentral:rRNA from 1 species
ACGAACGCUGGCGGCGUGCUUAACACAUGCAAGUCGAACGGAAAGGCCCUGCUUUUGUGGGGUUCUCGUGUGGCGAACGGGUGAGUAACACGUGAGUAACCUGCCCUUGACUUUGGGAUAACUUCAGGAAACUGGGGCUAAUACCGGAUAGUAUCUCCUGCUGCAUGGUGGGGGUUGGAAAGUUUCGGCGGUUGGGGAUGGACUCGCGGCUUAUCCGCUUGUUGGUGGGGUAGUGGCUUACCAAGGCUUUGACGGGUAGCCGGCCUGAGAGGGUGACAGGCCACAUUGGGACUGAGAUACGGCCCAGACUCCUACGGGAGGCAGCAGUGGGGAAUAUUGCACAAUGGGCGGAAGCCUGAUGCAGCAACGCCGCGUGCGGGAUGACGGCCUUCGGGUUGUAAACCGCUUUCGCCUGUGACGAAGCGUGAGUGACGGUAAUGGGUAAAGAAGCACCGGCUAACUACGUG